rnacentral:lncRNA from 1 species
GUUCUUCAACCUCUUGUAUCAGUGUAUCAUUCAUAUAUAUUGGUGGAUUAUGGGGUUUUGCUCUUUUUCUAGAUAUGGUCAUGGUUUCAGUUUUUCUUGGAUUAAAAUUAACAAGCCAUUGUUGAGACCAUUGGUGAAUUUUUUCUAUAUCAGAAUUCAUCAAUUCAGAUGUAGCAUACUCGUCCUCAACAACUAUAUAUAAUGACGUAUCGUCAGCAAAAAGUCUGAUGUUGCAUGAUAUGUCACAUACAAUAUCGUUUAUGAAU